rnacentral:lncRNA from 1 species
GUAAUUUUUCUAUGUUCUAGAAAAUGCUCAAGAACAUUUCUUGCAGACUAAAAACCAAGAGUGAAUGCAGAUCUUUACAAUAUGAAAACAUAACUAUCCAACUUUAAAUGUUAAUGGAUAUUUCUUUUUUUGUGGUUGUUCAACACUGAAGUCUACUGGAAAUAAAUCCUGUAACUGAGCAAACAGAUCCCACCUACAGGUCCCUUGGAGAGAUUACUGCUCUCACCAGGACUGCAGUGUCUGCAUGGGAAAGCUGCAAUCUACCUGAAACAACCACAGAGCUCUCUGGCCGGGAUUUUAAAAAAAACUGCUAAAAAAAGGAUAAAACAACAGCUUCCUUACAGAAGACACCAGCCACGAAUUUAUCAACAGAAAAACUGGAUAUUAAAGACAGAAGUCUCCUAGCUACUCUUUAAAAAGAAGGUGAGGUGCUUUAAUAUUUGAAACUGCCUUAUAUUAAAGCCCAAGUACUUAACAAAGCAG